UGAUUCUUUUUCCAAAGCUUUGAUAUAUGACUCAUGGCUAUGAUCAAGACUUAUAUGAUGAUUCGUUAGAUCUUUAUAAUCUCAAAAUUAUUAUCAAAAUUUUUAGUAAAAUAAAACAAGAUAUGAAAUCAUCAUAAAUGAAAAAAAAAAAAAAAUCUAUCAAUAUCAAUCUCUGUCAAUCAAAAGUUUUAAAACUAAAUCAAAUCAUCUAUCAAAAAAAAAAAGAAGGAAAAAAUCAGACUUACCUCAAUUAAUACUACGAAUCCUUUGUCCUUUCCAAAACAAACUUCUCUACCUCUCUUAUCUUAUUGUUGCUAGCUUCGUAGUAUCUCACUCUUUUCAUCGUUUGAUUCCAUGAUAGGUUGAGUGAGUAGGAAGUUACUAUCGGG
rnacentral:lncRNA from 1 species